rnacentral:lncRNA from 1 species
CAAUUGAUUUAAAGAUAUAUUUAGUUAAUCUAUAGAACUUCUAUGCCCCAUAACACUUCAUAUUGCAUUCUAAUCAUAACAAAAUUGUCAGCGAUGCAAAGUUAGGAUUUAUAUUGACAUAACUGAAAUAAAAAAAGUAUAACACAAAAAAUUCAGCAAAGGAUAUAGACCUGCAGAUUCACAAUUAUGUGGCAUUUAGAACAAACUCUACGUGGCAAUAUUUCAAACACUUACAGUGUACCAAGUCAGCCAAAGUAAGUAAUAGUUAUAGCACUCGAUAUUUAUAAAAUGUUUCAUCAAAUUCAAGGAAAAGAAACUAUAAUCGCCAAGACUUGCGUCACAUGAUUCUGCUAUUUGUUCUCUAUAUACCAACUACACAAAUUGAGGUCCUGGAAUUAUUUUAAACCCAAAUGUAAUGUUUUCAAACUAUUCUGGCCAUGUAGUAGAUUGCUUUCCUAAGUGGUAGAAUGUUGGAAGGCAAGGAAUAGAUGUCAAAGAUGUAGCAAAUUAUCAUUCAAGAUCAUAUAAUUGUUUCAUAUAUAGCAGUAUGUCUGAUAACCUAUAUUUACAAAUCAAAUGAAAAUUGAGUUGUAACCAAAGUGUUCAUUGAUAUUUGACUGGCAACAUAAAUAAUAAUUUUUAUAAAUACAAAAAAAAAAUAAGAAAAGAGAGCCAGAGUCUCUGAUGCAAAAUACAUAAUACAAAUAUUUUAACAAUAACAUACCACGACACCUUAAAAGCCAACUAUUACAAUAGGAAAAAUCACAUCAAGGAUAUAACAAUUUUGAAAGAAAACUCUUAAAUCUAUAAACACAUUCAGAACAUAUUAUGAUAUACAGAAAAGUAAUUUAUUUUUAUUUUUUGGGAGGGGGGAUCAUAAGCUACUUUAACAAUUAAAAAGCUAUAAAUUAGCAUUUUAAAACUUAACAACUGAAAUUACCAAAAUUUCCACGGCUCAAAGCUUAUUCCUACUUUUACAUAGAGAUAACCCUUCAAAUAGAAAUCAGAAAGGACAGUGGAAAAGAAAAUGAAAUGUUAGAGCUAUAAGAGUUUUAUCUACAGUCCAUUACACUAAAUUUGAGCAUUAUUACUUGUAUUUUUUAUAUGAUAGUAGUACAUAAUAAAAUUCUACUUGAG